GGCCCAAAUUUGAGGUAGAGUAGAUUAGUCGUAUCAGCUGACCUUACUGAACUACUCUACUUCGGGUUUGGGCCC
rfam:Haemonchus contortus, ISE/inbred ISE, WGS project CAVP01000000 data, contig: Hcontortus_contig_pathogens_Hcontortus_scaffold_5280